GUGAGGAAUAUUGCGCAAUGGAGGCAACUCUGACGCAGCCAUGCCGCGUGCAGGAAGAAGGCGCUACGCGUUGUAAACUGCUUUUAACCGGGAAGAAACCCCAGGACGUGUCCUGGGUUGACGGUACCGGAGGAAUAAGCACCGGCUAACUUCGUGCCAGCAGCCGCGGUAAUACGAAGGGUGCAAGCGUUAUCCGGAUUCAUUGGGUUUAAAGGGUGCGUAGGCGGAGCGUUAAGUCAGUGGUGAAGUCCUGCAGCUUAACUGUAGACUUGCCAUUGAUACUGGCGCUCUUGAGUGCGCUUGAAGUGGGCGGAAUGUGCCGUGUAGCGGUGAAAUGCUUAGAUAUGGCACAGAACACCAAUUGCGAAGGCAGCUCACUAAGGCGAUACUGACGCUGAGGCACGAAAGCGUGGGGAUCGAACAGGAUUAGAUACCCCGGUAGUCC
rnacentral:rRNA from 1 species